rnacentral:rRNA from 1 species
CUACGUGCCAGCAGCCGCGGUAAUACGGAGGAUGCGAGCGUUAUCCGGAUUUAUUGGGUUUAAAGGGUGCGUAGGCGGCCUGUUAAGUCAGCGGUGAAAUCUAGGAGCUUAACUCCUAAAUUGCCAUUGAUACUGGCGGGCUUGAGUGUAGAUGAGGUAGGCGGAAUGCGUGGUGUAGCGGUGGAAUGCAUAGAUAUCACGCAGAACUCCGAUUGCGAAGGCAGCUUACUAAGGUACAACUGACGCUGAAGCACGAAAGCGUGUGUAUCAAACAGGAUUAGAUACCCUGGUAGUCCGCACAGUAAACGAUGGAUGCCCGCUGUUGGUACCUGGUAUCAGCGGCUAAGCGAAAGCAUUAAGCAUCCCGCCUGGGGAGUACGCCGGCAACGGUGAAACUCAAAGGAAUUGACGGGGGCCCGCACAAGCGGAGGAACAUGUGGUUUAAUUCGAUGAUACGCGAGGAACCUUACCCGGGCUUGAA